UACGAAGGGGGCUAGCGUUGUUCGGAAUCACUGGGCGUAAAGGGCGCGUAGGCGGCCGAUCAAGUCGGGGGUGAAAGCCUGUGGCUCAACCACAGAAUUGCCUUCGAUACUGUUUGGCUUGAGACCGGAAGAGGUAAGUGGAACUGCGAGUGUAGAGGUGAAAUUCGUAGAUAUUCGCAGGAACACCAGUGGCGAAGGCGGCUUACUGGUCCAUUACUGACGCUGAGGUGGCGGAAAGCGUGGGGAGCAAACACGGAUUAGAUACCGUGUA
rnacentral:rRNA from 1 species